rnacentral:tRNA from 1 species
AUUUGAAUUAUUUUAUUAAAAUUUAUUUUUUGGUUAAAUAAGAUUUAUUCAAUUU